UACGUAGGCAGCGAGCGUUGUUCGGAAUUACUGGGCGUAAAGCGCGCGUAGGCGGACCUGCAAGUCGGGGGUGAAAGCCCGAGGCUCAACCUCGGAACUGCCUUCGAUACUGCGGGUCUCGAGUCCGGGAGAGGUAAGUGGAAUUCCUAGUGUAGAGGUGAAAUUCGUAGAUAUUAGGAAGAACACCAGUGGCGAAGGCGGCUCACUGGCCCGGUACUGACGCUGAGGCGCGAAAGCGUGGGGAGCAAACAGG
rnacentral:rRNA from 1 species